rnacentral:rRNA from 1 species
ACUCCUGCGGGAGGCAGCAGUGGGGAAUUUUGGACAAUGGGCGAAAGCCUGAUCCAGCAAUGCCGCGUGAGUGAAGAAGGCCUUCGGGUUGUAAAGCUCUUUUGUCAGGGAAGAAACGGUGAGAGCUAAUAUCUUUUGCUAAUGACGGUACCUGAAGAAUAAGCACCGGCUAACUACGUGCCAGCAGCCGCGGUAAUACGUAGGGUGCAAGCGUUAAUCGGAAUUACUGGGCGUAAAGCGUGCGCAGGCGGUUUUGUAAGUCUGAUGUGAAAUCCCCGGGCUCAACCUGGGAAUUGCAUUGGAGACUGCAAGGCUAGAAUCUGGCAGAGGGGGGUAGAAUUCCACGUGUAGCAGUGAAAUGCGUAGAUAUGUGGAGGAACACCGAUGGCGAAGGCAGCCCCCUGGGUCAAGAUUGACGCUCAUGCACGAAAGCGUGGGGAGCAAACAGGAUUAGAAACCCCUGUAGUCCCAUGA